rnacentral:ncRNA from 1 species
GAGAAUGCAAAGAGAAAGAGUAGUAGUUAUGACAGGAUGAUACAGAGAGCCUGUGGUUGGUGCAAACAGGUCAUCCUCCAUACCGAAUGGACUUUCUCGCAGAUACCGGGGAACUGUUUACAAAGUAUCCGGAUCCGGUUUUCGACCGUUAUCCCGAUCGCUUAGAGAGACUGACUGCAAUUUUUCUGCAGUUCGUAAUCAGGGUGGUACCACGGUCCAUUCGUCCCUGCA